AUCUUUCUAUUAUAAUUAUUAGUAUUUUUAACUUCCAAUUAAAAGGUUUUAGCUUAAGCUAAAGUGAGAUA
rnacentral:tRNA from 1 species